rnacentral:pre_miRNA from 1 species
AGGGAUAGCGCUGGGUCAAAUGGUGGUUCCAUUCCCAGUUUUCCAGGAAAUCUCCAUACUGCUUCCCAGAUUGGCUGCACCAAUUUGCAGUCCCACCAGCGAU